CCUACGGGCGGCAGCAGUGAGGAAUAUUGGUCAAUGGGCUUACGCCUGAACCAGCCAAGUCGCGUGAGGGAAGACUGCCCUAUGGGUUGUCAACCUCUUUUGUCAGGGAGCAAUUGGCGCUACGUGUAGCGUUAUCGAGAGUACCUGCAGAAAAAGCAUCGGCUACCACCGUGCACGCAGCCGCGGAAAUACGGAGGAUGCGAGCGUUAUCCGGAUUUAUUGGGUUUAAAGGGGGCGUAGGCGGAAUGCCAAGUAAGCGGUAAAAUCGCGGGGCUCAACCUCGCCGCGCCGUUGAAACUGGCGUUCUUGAGUGGGCGAGAAGUAUGCGGAAUGUGUGGUGUAGCGGUGAAAUGCAGAGAUAGCACGCAGAACUCCGAUUGCGAAGGCAGCAUACCGGCGCCCAACUGACGCUGAGGCACGAAAGCGUGGGUAUCGAACAGGAUUAGAUACCCCUGUAGUC
rnacentral:rRNA from 1 species